rnacentral:rRNA from 1 species
CCGUCUUGAAACACGGACCAAGGAGUUGAACAUGUGCGCGAGUCACACAGUCUUGUUUAGGCUAGUGAGGCGCAAUGAAAGUAAUGCUUGUUAAGUUACGAUCCUCAUGUCAGUUAUUCUAUUAAUUUGGGAUAACGGUGGGGCGCAGUAACGGCCCGCUAAUUUCGCUUUUUGACGAUAUGGCGGAGUUGUAGCGUACACGUUCAGACCCGAAAGAUGGUGAACUAUGCCUGGGCAAGACGAAGCCAGAGGAAACUCUGGUGGAGGUCUGUAGCGAUUCUGACGUGCAAAUCGAUCGUCAGACCUGGGUAUAGGGGCGAAAGACUAAUCGAACCAUCUAGUA